UACAGAGGUCUCAAGCGUUGUUCGGAUUCAUUGGGCGUAAAGAGCGUGUAGGCGGCCAGGUAGGUCUGCUGUGAAAACUCGAGGCUUAACCUCGAGAUGUCGGCGGAAACCAUCUGGCUAGAGUCCGGAAGAGGAGAAUGGAAUUCCCGGUGUAGCGGUGAAAUGCGCAGAUAUCGGGAAGAACACCCGUGGCGAAGGCGGUUCUCUGGGACGGUACUGACGCUGAGACGCGAAAGCGUGGGGAGCGAACAGG
rnacentral:rRNA from 1 species